rnacentral:lncRNA from 1 species
ACUAAAGUUGUUUCGGUUGUCUAUAAAGCAUUUUGAAUUAAAUUUUGUUUUCAGGAAUAUAACAUAUAUAUUUUUCUCAUAUUCUGAAUUUCAUAUCUUGUGAAUAUCCACAUGAGAGUAAAACAAUCAAUAUCAACUCUGAUUGUUUUGCUUUGAUGUGAGGGUAACUUUAUUCUGACAACUUGCAGGACAAGUGAUCAAAGGGUGAGAAUUGUGUUAGAUUGGUGAGACUGGAUAUGGUUCAAACAAGUACCAUUGAAUAUAGCUAUGGACAUGGUGGAUGUGGACAUGGUAGCUCAACUUAGGUUGAUGUCAAAAUUGAAGCGGAUAUUGUUAAAAGGGCGUUAAGCUACGGUACCACCCUAUGAAGUUAGUUGCCCAAAAUGCAAGCAUUUUAUUUGAAAAGGCAUGAGAUUCCAACGGCUAUAUGUAAAUUCCUAUAUGUAUCAUUAAUGGUUAAUCAAUGGUUAGCCUCUUGUUAUUCAUUUUGUGCAUUCAGGUGCCAUCAAUUGACAGCCGAAAGUAUGGUUGCAUUAAGCUGCUGCUAGGAAAUUUGAGGAUAUGACGGCUGCCGCUACUAUUGUCUAAGAGCAAACAGCUACAAGACUUUCCCCAUCACAUCUGAUCCUGCUUAACCUGAACCUGUGGCUAUGGAUAAUCCCAGGUUCUUAUUAUCAACUACAUAAUCUUUUGCAUUG